GUGGGGAAUAUUGCGCAAUGGGGGAAACCCUGACGCAGCAACGCCGCGUGCGGGAUGAAGGCCUUCGGGUUGUAAACCGCUUUCAGCAGGGAAGAUAGUGACGGUACCUGCAGAAGAAGCCCCGGCUAACUACGUGCCAGCAGCCGCGGUAAUACGUAGGGGGCAAGCGUUAUCCGGAUUCAUUGGGCGUAAAGCGCGCGCAGGCGGGUGCAAAAGCGGGGCCUUUAAACUUGGGGCUCAACCUCAAGUCGGGCUCCGAACUUUGCACCUCGAGUUCGGUAGGGGAGAUCGGAAUUCCCGGUGUAGCGGUGGAAUGCGCAGAUAUCGGGAAGAACACCGAUGGCGAAGGCAGAUCUCUGGGCCGUAACUGACGCUGAGGCGCGAAAGCUGGGGGAGCGAACAGGA
rnacentral:rRNA from 1 species